rnacentral:lncRNA from 1 species
AGAGAAAGAGAGAGUCUUUGGAGAGUUGUGAGGAGAUAAGUGACAUAAACUGGCAUGUUCUGAAAGAAUCACUCUGGAUGCUGUGUGGAGAAAACACUGAAAAGUCUUUAUAGGGGGAGAAUAAUUGACUCCAUUCAAGUGUUCGCUCCUGUUUCAAUCAACUAUGGCUGAAGAGUGAGGAGACAUUUGGAAUAAAUAUGGCUUCUGGGGGCCCAUUCCUAUGGAUCAGCAGCUGGCUUCUGGAGGCCCAUUCCUGUGAAUCGUCGAUCUCAUAGAAGAUAAUAUUGUUAGAAGGCUUACCUCAUUGAUGCUGAACAUCCUAAAAAGCUUCUGCUGCUUUGAGUCACUGAAAAAGACCAAGAAACAUGAAUUUAAAAAAAAAUUUCAAAUGUUAUAAAAUAAAUAAUAUGAACUCAUUAUACCUACAAUGAAUAAUUUAAAUUCUUCUUUGGUAGUCCAGGUAAAUAACUUCUCAAAUAGAUUUUUUUAAGCAUCUGUAUAAGUUCAAGAUGUACAUCACUUCAUGUAGAAUAACAUCUCCUAAAAAGAACUGAAAUGCCUCAGUAUACAACCAGCUGACCUGGCUAUCAAACACUUAUUUAGCACAUAUUACAUGAUGGACACUUUGAUGUAGAUACGGACCUUGGGUUGUGUCCUCAAGGAUCAUACAGUGGGUUGAGGAAAUAGGAUAUGCUAUCCAUAGGAAAGUAAAUAAUAAUAUGACAGCUUAUUUUCAAUGAGAAGUGAAUAGUACAAAGAAUAGGAGUUGCCAGAUUUCAAAAGGAAAGAGCUAUCACACAGAGGCGGAACAAUUAGAAAUUUUUCAUGAAGGAAGUGUUCUUUGUGCUGGACCUUUGAGAAAGUAUAGAAUGUAGAUUAGCAAAAAGGCAUGGAAAAGGCAUGAUAGGUAGGAGAGGCAAGUUAGGCAAAGGUCCAUUAGAAUUGCUCAAGAUAUAAUAGACCAACUUGGCCUGAAAAAGGCCUGGAAGUAUCCUCUUUUGUGCUCUGUGAGAAGUUUGCCACCAUGUAAAAAGUCUAACUACCCUAAGGCAACCAUGCUCUGAGAAGCCCAACCUAUCCAGGUGGAGAGGUCCUGUAGAGAAUUGAGGCCACUGGCCCUGAGCUCCCAGUUGAAAUAGACAAUAUCAACAUGUCAGCAGGGUGAAUGAGACCAUCUUGGAAGUGGGUCCUCCAAGAGUAGUUGAGCCAUCCUGCCUAAAUUUCAGCAUUUUGAGCAAAUAAAUGAUUUAUACCAUUUUAAAUCACUAUAUUUUUGAGUGAAUCACUGACUUUUUUCUCAAUUAAGCAUAGGUUUAGAAACUAUGAAAACCCUAGAAGAAAACCUAGGCAAUGCCAUUCAGGACAUAGGCACGGACAAAGAUUUCAUGACGAAGACGCCAAAAACAACUGCAACAAAAGCAAAAAUUGACAGAUGGGAUCUCAUUAAACUAAAGAGCUUCCAUACAGCAAAAGAAGCUACCAUGAGAGUGAACAGACAACCUAUAGAAAGGGAGAAAAAUUUUGCAAUCUGUUCAUCUGACAAAGGUCUAAUAUCCAGCAUCUACAAGGAACUUAAAUAAAUUUACAAGAAAAAAACAAACCCAUUAGAAAAUGGGCAAAGGACAUGAAAAGAUACUUCUCAAAAGACAUACAUGUGGCCAACAAUCAUACAAAAAAAACCUCAACAUCACUGAUGAUUAGAAAAAUGCUAAUCAAAACCACAACGAGAUACCAUCUCAUACCUGUCAGAAUGGCUAUUAAUAAAAAGUUAAAAAACAACA